GAGCGAGGUUCGUUCAUUAGGUAAUGCGGUGAUCGGUGCUGUGUUAUAUAAAAAGGUUCUUCGUUUUGCGUGUUCGCGCUUCGUUGAGAUUCGGGUCUUCAGUUCGUCUUUCGGUGCUGGUUAGAGUCUGUGCUUGAAAUUUUUGAUGCUGAUUUUUCGACUAAAGCGAAUAAAGUCUUUCGACGGCCUUAAGGUAGACCUAUGUAAGACGCCUUUUGUAAAUAUUUUCAUCCUCUGAACUCUUUGAUUGUUGGACUUCUAAAAGAGUCGUGGCAACGAGGUGUACGUAUUAGUACCCAAUACAUUGAAAAAUACGAACUUCUAUGGAAUCGAACGUGGCUACGAACAAAAGGAAGAACAGACUUCGGAACUAUAACCUGGCUUGAACCUGUUAGCAAUAGGUUAACCAGGAAAAUUAUGGCUGUCUUCGAGUAAUUGUGAAACAGCCAAAGAAAAUCUGCAUAUUGGUUUGGUCUUAUCAAGGUCUUUGUGGAAACCGUUCGAAUGGAAAUGCCUUUUUGAGCGUAAUAGGCUAAACCACUCGAAAGGAAAUGCUGUUUUUGAGCAUAAGAGGCAUAAACUGGGAAAAAUUAUGGCAGUCUUCCAGUAAGUGUGAAACUGCUAAAGAAAAUCUGCAUACUGGUUUGGUCUUAUAAAAGCUUUUGGUCGAAAUCUUUCGAAUGGAAAUGUUAUUUUGAACGUAAGCUUGUUAUUGAGAAGUUAAUAAAGAUUCAUAU